GCUUGCUUCGCCAGCACAUAUACUAAAAUUGGAACGAUACAGAGAAGAUUAGCAUGGCCCCUGCACAUGGAUACUCCGGUGGAAAACAUUUAUUUUAUUUUU